rnacentral:rRNA from 1 species
GACGGAGGAUGCAAGCGUUAUCCGGAAUGAUUGGGCGUAAAGCGUCCGCAGGUGGCAGUUCAAGUCUGCUGUCAAAGACCGGGGCUUAACUUCGGAAAGGCAGUGGAAACUGAACAGCUAGAGUAUGGUAGGGGCAGAGGGAAUUCCUGGUGUAGCGGUGAAAUGCGCAGAUAUCAGGAGGAACACCAAUUGCGAAGGCAGCUCGCUGGGACGUUACUGACGCUGAGACGCGGAAGCGUGGGGAGCAAACAGG